UUUAACCAGAAGAUUCUUUUUCCUCUCUAUCAAGUCAUCACUUUCCACAUUUUAUGGAAAGAAGUUUUAUCUUUUCUUGUUAAGCUAUUGGUGAAUUUUUAACUUUGGGGUUUUGUUUCGGAUAGGUAUUGGGAGAAGGAGAGGCUGUCAACCCAUGCCACUAUGCUAUCUCUAAUUCUGCCAUCCAGACCGAGCAAACGUACUUAAGACCUUUGUGUAAGAUCAGAAAAUCAUAAGACAGCAUUAAAAAGUACUAUACAGGAGGAGAUGGAACAAGAUGGCCAAAUAGAAGCCUCCAGCAAUCAUCUCCCCGAAAGGAAUUGAACAACUAUCAAAACAAAAUUGAACAACUAUCUAAACAAAAAAGUACCUUCAUAAAAAACAAAAAUCAGGACAAUAUCAGAACGGCACAUACAAGUGUCCCCAAGUCAUAUUUGGAAUAAGAUCACUUGGGAACACAAGUCAAAGAAGGACACAGUGUUCUGCCUCUCCUGAGUAAGCAGCAACAACGCACCAUCUUGGAAUCAGGGGACGGCCCUCACCAGACAACUAAAUCUGCAGACACCUUGGACUUCCCAGCCUCCAGAACUGUCUUUCUGGCAACUGUCUAAACAUAAACCAGAGAAGGGCAAGGCAGACUCAGGAAGGACAAAUAGAAGGCUAUUUUCAUAAAUCGGGCAUACAAUGGUGGACAAAACAGCUGCCUUUCUUCCCCGUAUGGAGCUUACAGUAUAGUGAAUAUUUCAUGGGACUAGUAUCUACAGAAGGUGUUUUGGGAAGCACAGCUUUGGAGAGAGUAAUUUGCCAACAUUGCACAGAAUAAAGGCACCAUGAGGGCCCAAGGAAGGAAAAGAUUUGCAGCUGUCUUGACCACCACCACAUGUGCAGCAUCCCUCUGGGUCUCUUCCAUGACAACCCUGUGGGAAGCCAGCUUGGCAGGUCACCUUGUUCUAGCAGAUAGAAACUGAAUCAAUAUGGGAAGAGCCAGAAUUUGGACAAGGUUCACCAAACAUUCACACUGAUGCCAGGUGGGCCAAGAAAAAGGGAAUGUCCUGCCUCUGAGAAACUCAUCAUACAGUUUGGAGAUAACAUUUGUUGAAGGAGAGAAGAAAAGAGGAGAGAGGAAUGGAGUGAGGCAGAAAGGAAAUGAUGACGAGCUACUCUUCAAAAUUAAGCUGGAUAACAACAAGAAAUUCUAGAAAGCAAUUGAGGCAACCUCCACCCUAAGACCCAGGUAAACCCUACAUUUAAAGUGCUGUUCUGGGGCACAGUGAAAGAUUUCUGCCAGAAAAUUUGCUCCCUAGGAUUUACAUGAUGAUGAGAUUACAUGCUGCCUUGUGGCAACAAAAUCAAAAGUCUGUAAAAGAAAAAGCGUGCUAUGCUUCUGAAUGUUUGGAGAUCCUACAAUAGAUUUUUCAUUCAGCUAUUUUGUUGCUGCUUCAUGAGCACA
rnacentral:lncRNA from 1 species